AUUAGACAAAGUUUUGUCAAUUCCCACAGCCCUAAGCAGGUCCGCCAUCAGGGUGUGAUAAUCGUGACUGUGACGAACUGAGCCUCAUAAUGUGUUCUUGGAGGGGCCUGCUGGCCAGCCUCUUACCUCAGGACUAUGGGCCAUGCAAAAAGGCUCAUAAAAGACCUUGUUCGUGCCUUUUUGCUAUUCUGUUUGGUAGAUUACCCUCCUAUUCUAACAUUGUCCCGUUCGACUACCGAACAACCGCACGAACCAGAGACCACCCUGGAGCUUGUUAACACCUAUUAAC